UUCAUGCUGGUCUCAUUUUUCAGGAGAUUCUUUAUUAUUGUUUUUCAUCCCAGAGGAUCUGCUGUCCUCCAGUGACAUGACUAAGUAUGAAAUCCUGCGAGAUUUUGUGGGAUUUGAGGUUUUAAAAGUGGGGCGGAACCUAAGGACAGGGACGUUUAUGGCCAGCAGCUUUUGGCCUUCCUUCGUUUUAAAUCGUUUUAAAUAAUUAGUUUUUAAUUUUUGAACGUGAUAUUUUUACCAACAUGCCUUUAGUUUCUAGACGCCUCUAAACUUUAAAAGAAUUGGUUUUCCUGAAUUUAGAAAUGGAAAGAAACAAACAGUCUCCACUCCGCCCAGAUAAAAUUCAGCUGCUGUGAUGAUUCUGCAGCAUCGGCGCCGUUAAAGCAGCAACCAGGUUCUGCUUUGCUGCAUUUUACUGCCCAGGAUUGUGAAGGUGCCACCGGUGUAAUUUAUCGAAACAUCUGUAAAGGGAGGUGCCUGUUUGAGAUGAUGGACGUCCAGCUGAGACCAACAACAAAACUUCAGUCAGGAGCGCCUAAUGGGCCGCCGACAGAAAACACAGACUGUUAGGUAAACCGGCAUCAGCUGGAUCCUCAUUACUUCACUCCAGGGAGGAGGAAACUCUCCUCCACCCCGUCCUGUUGGAUCCAUCCUGGUCUGGUUUCCUAGCUGGACGCCAUGCAGAGCGUCUGGUAGACAUUUUGUUCUGAGGGUUUAACUUUAUUAUUUUAGCUCAGUUUUACUUCCACAACAUCAGACUUUACUUUUCUUGUGUCAAAUGAAGCCAACUGCUAGAAACUAAAUGGUUAACUAAUAAGAAAAUUCACCUGCCGAUAACCGGAAGUGGACUACCAAAAUAAAAGCAGGCUAUUCCGAACCUCUUUUUGAACUCCUUGAUUGAAUCGCUUUAUUUCUUCUCCUCUUCAUCGUUUCUUUUCCUCUUUUCUUCUUCAACAUGUCAGGUUAAAUCGAAGGAUGAGCCGUUUUGAAGCCAAUCCAGACGUUUAGCAGCGGAGACGCUUCACCUCUCGGCCUCACCAGCAGGAGUUCAGAGGUUCUCAACACCCAGCUUUUAUUUUGAUAGUCCACUCUCACUCAUCUGCAGGAGAAUUUGCAUAUUAGUUAAAUAGUUAGCUUGCCAACUAAAUAUUUAAAUUGUAAACUAAAUCUUAUGCUAGUUCAAAGGUUAACUAAAUAUUUAGCUA